CCGUGUUAGAAAAUGUGUCAAUUAUCACAUGGAUUGCCUAAGGGUAUUGCCUGGGUCUGGGUCAUAAAACCAUCAAGACUGAAGGGAGAAAAAAUUGAUGAAGAAGUGUGGUCUUCAUCUGUGUGACCUGACCUGAGACAUAGACAUGUCCAUCUUGCAGCUCUUGGGAAGAGGAAAGGGGGAAGAUAACAAGCGCAAUGUGUUAAGUCCCAGACCUGAAAAUGACACCUCUCAAUCGUUUCGACUCAUCUUUUAUUAGCAAGAAUGU
rnacentral:lncRNA from 1 species